CACUCCUGCGGGAGGCAGCAGUGGGGAAUUUUGGACAAUGGGCGAAAGCCUGAUCCAGCCAUGCCGCGUGCAGGAUGAAGGCCUUCGGGUUGUAAACUGCUUUUGUACGGAACGAAACGGCCUUUUCUAAUAAAGAGGGCUAAUGACGGUACCGUAAGAAUAAGCACCGGCUAACUACGUGCCAGCAGCCGCGGUAAUACGUAGGGUGCAAGCGUUAAUCGGAAUUACUGGGCGUAAAGCGUGCGCAGGCGGUUAUGUAAGACAGUUGUGAAAUCCCCGGGCUCAACCUGGGAACUGCAUCUGUGACUGCAUAGCUAGAGUACGGUAGAGGGGGAUGGAAUUCCGCGUGUAGCAGUGAAAUGCGUAGAUAUGCGGAGGAACACCGAUGGCGAAGGCAAUCCCCUGGACCUGUACUGACGCUCAUGCACGAAAGCGUGGGGAGCAAACAGGAUUAGAAACCCGGGUAGUCCC
rnacentral:rRNA from 1 species